rnacentral:rRNA from 1 species
GAUGAACGCUGGCGGCGUGCCUAAUACAUGCAAGUCGAGCGAACGGACGAGAAGCUUGCUUCUCUGAUGUUAGCGGCGGACGGGUGAGUAACACGUGGAUAACCUACCUAUAAGACUGGGAUAACUUCGGGAAACCGGAGCUAAUACCGGAUAAUAUUUUGAACCGCAUGGUUCAAAAGUGAAAGAGGGUCUUGCUGUCACUUAUAGAUGGAUCCGCGCUGCAUUAGCUAGUUGGUAAGGUAACGGCUUACCAAGGCAACGAUGCAUAGCCGACCUGAGAGGGUGAUCGGCCACACUGGAACUGAGACACGGUCCAGACUCCUACGGGAGGCAGCAGUAGGGAAUCUUCCGCAAUGGGCGAAAGCCUGACGGAGCAACGCCGCGUGAGUGAUGAAGGUCUUCGGAUCGUAAAACUCUGUUAUUAGGGAAGAACAUAUGUGUAAGUAACUGUGCACAUCUUGACGGUACCUAAUCAGAAAGCCACGGCUAACUACGUG